UACGUAGGGGGCAAGCGUUGUCCGGAUUUAUUGGGCGUAAAUAGCGUGUAGGCGGUUUGUCGCGUCUGCCGUGAAAAUUCGAGGCUCAACCUCGAACUUGCGGUGGGUACGGGCAGACUAGAGUGUGGUAGGGGAGACUGGAAUUCCUGGUGUAGCGGUGAAAUGCGCAGAUAUCAGGAGGAACACCGAUGGCGAAGGCAGGUCUCUGGGCCACUACUGACGCUGAGAAGCGAAAGCAUGGGGAGCGAACAGG
rnacentral:rRNA from 1 species